CUCUGUGACUCCUACGGGAGGCAGCAGUGGGGAAUAUUGCACAAUGGGGGAAACCCUGAUGCAGCCAUGCCGCGUGUGUGAAGAAGGCCUUCGGGUUGUAAAGCACUUUCAGUAGGGAGGAAGGUAGUGUAGUUAACACCUGCAUUAUUUGACGUUACCUACAGAAGAAGCACCGGCUAACUCCGUGCCAGCAGCCGCGGUAAUACGGAGGGUGCGAGCGUUAAUCGGAAUUACUGGGCGUAAAGCGCAUGCAGGCGGCCUGUUAAGUCAGAUGUGAAAGCCCGGGGCUUAACCUCGGAAUUGCAUUUGAAACUGGCAGGCUAGAGUCUUGUAGAGGGGGUAGAAUUUCAGGUGUAGCGAUGAAAUGCGUAGAGAUCUGAAGGAAUACCAGUGGCGAAGGCGGCCCCCUGGACAAAGACUGACGCUCAGAUGCGAAAGCGUGGGGAGCAAACAGGAUUAGAUACCCUGGUAG
rnacentral:rRNA from 1 species